UCUAGGCUUACUCCAACCUCUGCCCCCCGGGUUCAAGCGAUUCUCAAGCCUCAGCAUCCUGCGUAGCUGGGAUUACAGCAAUUCUGCUUCCAGAACAUGGAAAUACGCAACUAAAGCCCUAAGAGCCUCUCUACUCUUCAUCCCAGCAACUCUGCUUCCAGAACACGGAAAUACGCGUGCAAAGACCUAAGAACCUCUCUACUCUUCAUCCCAGCAACUCUGCUUCCAGAACGUGGAAAUGCGCGUCCAAAGCCCUAAGAGCCUCUCUACUCUUCAUCCCAGCAACUCUGCUUCCAGAACUGUAGCUGGACAAAAUAGUUAAGAAUGUUCAGAACAUGGGCGCGGUGGCUCACGCCUGUAAUCCCAGCACUUCAGGAGGCCGAGGCGGGCAGAUCACCUGAGGUCAGGAGUUUGAGACGAGCCUGGCUAAUAUGGUGAAACCCCGUUUCUACUAAAAAUACAAAAAAUUAGCUGGGUGUGGUGGUGCACACCUGUAAUCCCAGCUACUCAGGAGGCUGAGGUAGGAGAAUAGCUUGAACCUGGGAGACGGAGGUUGCAGUGAGCCGAGAUCGCGCCAUUGCACUCCAGCUUGGGCAAUAAGAGUGAAACUCUGUCUCAAAAAUUUAAAAAAAGAGUGUGCAGAACAACACAGCUGAAGAACACAUUCUUAGAUACAUCAAAAUGGGAUAAUCCAGUUGAUACCAUUUUAUAACCUUGGCAACAUGAGGAUAAUGGUUCAUCCUUUCAUGUCAUUUUCUAGUCUGUGCUAUGUAAUUUCAAGUGCCUUUUCACUGAAUAGACCUAUUAAAAUUGAUACA
rnacentral:lncRNA from 10 species